rnacentral:lncRNA from 1 species
UUGUUUUUCUCCGCGUAGAGACUGCGCCGUGCGCCGCUGUCUGUUGGGAUUGGUCAGCUUGUGUUCUUCUCUGUUUUUUUUUUUUCCUCUCUUCGCCGGAGAGAGGGACCCGAAGUGCUGAUGCGUCGUUGACGCCGCCAGCUUGAAGCCCCUCACCAUCCGCACAGACAUGGGACCAGUGGACGCGCAACUCUCAGUCAUCACGACCCGGACUAUCGGCGGACCAGUGUGUAGCUAAGACAGAAGUCUAUCGUGAGCGGAAACAAAGCUUCUGACUGACCAAAGAGCAAGCGGACGAGGCAAGCGGCAGCAGGCCCUCCCUAUGUGAAGAGGUCAUGCCUUACUGAAGGUCAGGUGACAUUUGACCUUUGACCUGAGCUGACUGGCCAGUGGAUACUGCAUGGUCCAUUCAGAGGAAGCGGACACAGAAGGGCUGUUUGGUCUAACCUCUAGGAAGAUACCAUCACAGGACAUUAGCACCACACACACACACACACACACACACACACACACACACACACACACA